rnacentral:tRNA from 3 species
GUGGGCAUAGCUCAGUUGGUUAGAGCGCCAGAUUGUGACUCUGGAGGUCGUGGGUUCGACUCCCAUUGCUCACCCCA